rnacentral:rRNA from 1 species
GUGGGGAAUAUUGGGCAAUGGGGGAAACCCUGACCCAGCGACGCCGCGUGAGGGAAGACGGCCUUCGGGUUGUAAACCUCUUUUGUACGGGAAGAAGGAAGUGACGGUACUGUACGAAUAAGUCCCGGCUAACUACGUGCCAGCAGCCGCGGUAAUACGUAGGGGACGAGCGUUGUCCGGAAUUACUGGGCGUAAAGGGCGCGCAGGCUGUGCUGCAAGUCAGCUGUGAAAUGUCUGGGCUUAACCCGGGCAUGCGGUUGAGACUGAAGUGCUGGAGUGCUGUAGAGGCAAGUGGAAUUCCCAGUGUAGCGGUGAAAUGCGUAGAUAUUGGGAAGAACACCGGUGGCGAAGGCGACUUGCUGGGCAACAACUGACGCUGAGGCGCGAAAGCCAGGGGAGCAAACGGGAUUAGAAACCCUGGUAGUCC